rnacentral:rRNA from 1 species
GUGGCGAACGGGUGAGUAACACGUGAGCAAUCUGCCCUUGACUCUGGGAUAACUGCGGGAAACUGUAGCUAAUACCGGAUACUUUCCUCGCUGGGCAUCCAGCGGGGAAGAAAGAAUUUCGGUCAAGGAUGAGCUCGCGGCCUAUCAGCUAGUUGGUGAGGUAAUGGCUCACCAAGGCGACGACGGGUAGCCGGCCUGAGAGGGUGACCGGCCACACUGGAACUGAGACACGGUCCAGACUCCUACGGGAGGCAGCAGUGGGGAAUAUUGCACAAUGGGCGAAAGCCUGAUGCAGCAACGCCGCGUGAGGGAUGAAGGCCUUCGGGUUGUAAACCUCUUUUAGCAGGGAAGAAGCGAAAGUGACGGUACCUGCAGAAAAAGCACCGGCUAACUACGUGCCAGCAGCCGCGGUAAUACGUAGGGUGCAAGCGUUGUCCGGAAUUAUUGGGCGUAAAGAGCUCGUAGGCGGUUUGUCACGUCUGCCGUGAAAAUCCGAGGCUCAACCUCGGACUUGCAGUGGUACGGGCAGGCUAGAGUGCGGUAGGGGAGAAGGGAAUUCCUGGUGUAGCGGUGGAAUGCGCAGAUAUCAGGAGGAACACCAAUGGCGAAGGCACUUCUCUGGGCCGUAACUGACGCUGAGGAGCGAAAGCGUGGGGAGCGAACAGGAUUAGAUACCCUGGUAGUCCAC